UUUUUUGCCAACAAAAAAACCUAUUUGUUUUGUUUUGAGACCAGUUUUUUAAAUGGAGGGAAUGAUUUUGUUUUUGGGUUAGUACUGUUUUGAAAGUAAAAUGUGAUAGGAAACAAAAAACGAUUAAAAUAUAAAGUUGUUAAAGAGAGAAAGAUGUAAUUAAAUAAAAAAAUGUAUUAUUAUCUUUUAUUAAUCAUUGUUACACUAAAAAAAAUACAUUAUAACAGGAGUUUAUUUUCGGCGGGAAACCCUAUAAAUGUUCAGCGGUUUUAUAGAAACCGCAAACAAAUUAAAAAUAUAUUUUUAUUAAAGAAAUGUUGUUUCGUUUCCCUCCUCAUUUUCGCACCGGCUCGUUUUCUAUUUGACUUAAAAUAAAAUAACAUGUAACCACACUAGUUCGCGAUUUUGAUUUAGAUUUGCAGGUGUCAUGGAGGCACGAGGACUGGGUUCGAGAGCUUCGCGUUUUGCGAGAGAAAGACGAUGAUGGCGCUGUGUGGUGGUUGGUUGUCAGAGGUUCGCGACGACGAUGUGGGGAUGAUGAUGGAGGAUCUCUAUUUCACAGUGGCUUGCGGUGGUGAAAAUGAAGCUUGCGAUGGUCUGGUUCGAACUCAAAUUUGGAGCUUUUUGUUUCUAAUUUGGGAUUAUCUGCAAUUAAGGCUGGCCACUUGCUCGAAAGGUGGAGAAUGACCAUGAUGGUCUCGUGGUUGCCUCAAAGAUGAGGCUCGAUGAUGUUGAAGGAGAUGGUUAUGAAGGCGCUGAUGAAAAAUGGGUUUUGUGGUGUUUCACAGGUGAUUGCGGUUUUGAUUCGGACCAACCAUUACCUGAAGGGAGAGGCAUCGUGGAAUAUUGUAUGGGACAUGCGGCCGGCGCGGUGGCUCCAUCGUCCUGAUUCCGCGUGGCUCCAUAGUGGAAUGUUGCAUGGGUUCUGCACGAUUUUUCGACAGGCAAAUGAAUUCCACUUGGCUCUUUGCUUCAGCUCAGUCAAAGUGGUAUAGCAAACACCAAGAAAUGAAAGAAUUCACUGCGAAUUUGGGUCAGAAAUCGAGGAGAAAACUGAAAGGUAUGAGUUGGUAUAUUGUAGAGGAAGCUUUGAUGAUGGACGGAACCAAGAAAGUACAAGUGAAGCUGUGAAUGCGUACUAUUCAGCAGCUUUGGUGGGUUUAACAUAUGUUGACUCACGUCUUGUUGCCACUGGAUCAACGCUAUUGGCGAUGGAAAUUCUUGCUACACAAAUUUGGUGGCAUGUGAAAGUUGAAGACAACAUGUACAAUAAAGAAUUUGCAAAAGACAAUAGGAUAAUUGGUGUUCUGUGGUCUAAUAAGAGGGAUAGUGCAUUAUGGUGGGCCGUUGCUACAUGUAAAGAGUGCAGACUUGGAAUCCAAGUGCUACCCUUGUUGCCUAUCAGUGAGACAUUGUUCUCUGAUGCUGCUUAUGUGAAGGAGCUUGUGGAAUGGACACUUCCAUCUUUAAGUAGUCAGAGUUGGAAGGGAAUGACCUGUGCCUUGUAGGGAAUUUACGAUAAGCAAUCAGCAUUGUGUAUCAUAAGAACAUUGACAGCUUUUGAAGGUGGAAACUCAUUCACUAAUCUCUUGUGGUGGAUUCACAACAGAUAAUUAUG